UACAGAGGGUGCGAGCGUUGUCCGGAAUCACUGGGCGUAAAGCGCACGUAGGCGGCUUUGUAAGUUAGAGGUGAAAGCCCGGGGCUCAACUCCGGAAUUGCCUUUAAGACUGCAUCGCUAGAAUUGUGGAGAGGUAAGUGGAAUUCCGAGUGUAGAGGUGAAAUUCGUAGAUAUUCGGAAGAACACCAGUGGCGAAGGCGGCUCACUGGUCCGGUACUGACGCUGAGGUGCGAAAGCGUGGGGAGCAAACGGG
rnacentral:rRNA from 1 species